rnacentral:sRNA from 1 species
UGGUAGUGACGGUCGACACGUCGUCCAC